rnacentral:rRNA from 1 species
GACGAACGCUGGCGGCGUGCCUAGUACAUGCAAGUAGAACGCACAGUUUAUACCGUAGCUUGCUACACCAUAAACUGUGAGUUGCGAACGGGUGAGUAACGCGUAGGUAACCUGCCUGGUAGCGGGGGAUAACUAUUGGAAACGAUAGCUAAUACCGCAUAAUAUUGAUUAUUGCAUGAUAAUUGAUUGAAAGAUGCUAUUGCAUCACUACCAGAUGGACCUGCGUUGUAUUAGCUAGUAGGUGAGGUAACGGCUCACCUAGGCGACGAUACAUAGCCGACCUGAGAGGGUGAUCGGCCACACUGGGACUGAGACACGGCCCAGACUCCUACGGGAGGCAGCAGUAGGGAAUCUUCGGCAAUGGACGAAAGUCUGACCGAGCAACGCCGCGUGAGUGAAGAAGGUUUUCGGAUCGUAAAGCUCUGUUGUAAGAGAAGAACGGGUGUGAGAGUGGAAAGUUCACACUGUGACGGUAUCUUACCAGAAAGGGACGGCUAACUACGUG